rnacentral:rRNA from 1 species
UGUCCACUAAUUAUGGACCUGUAUGAAAGGCCACAUGAGAAUCUAACUGUCUCUUGUAACUAAUUUAUAAAACUGAUCUUCUAGUCCAAAAGCUAGAAUACCCAUAUAAGACGAGAAGACCCUGUGAAGCUUUAAAAACCCCAUUAAACCUGUUAAUGGGUAUUUUUAGUUGGGGCAACUUUGGAAAACAAUUUAACUUCCAAACAAGGAAAAACAACACCCACCAAGACCCACAAGUCAACCAAGACCCAGUAUAACUGAUAAAUGAACCAAGUUACUCCAGGGAUAACAGCGCAAUCUUCUUCAAGAGCCCAUAUCAAAAAGAAGGUUUACGACCUCGAUGUUGGAUCAGGACACCCAAAUGGCGCACGCUAUUAAAGGUUCGUUUGUUCAACGAUUAACAGU